UAAUUUCUUGAUUUUGCAAUACCACCUAGGGAUAGGGGUAGGACGAUCAAUUGCGCUAACUUCUGUUUAUAAUGUGAUAUUAUUUACUAGGGGAGGCUAGGGAUAGCAAGCCAGUAGUUAAUAUUAGGCCCUUUUCGCCGAGGGAUCGGGUUAAGGGGAGGCUAAGAAAGUCGCAUAACAAUUAAUUAAUCAAACUAAUAUUCAAGAGGAGUAGGUAAGAGAGAGCGGAUUAGAUGAAAUUGUGAACCCCCAACAACAUCCAUUCAUCCAUUGUUUUCUUUUGUCAAUUGAAUCAAGUUUAUUUUGAAUGUUAAUAUUUUUGUUCUCAAAACCAAUUUAUUAGUUUUUAUUUUUCAAGUCUUAUUAUUUUAAUUCACGCGAAUGAGAAAACCUUUCGAGUCUCUUGGGAAAACGAUACUUGGUCUUACCAUUUAUAUUACUUGUACAAUUUGGUACAGUUGCCAAUUUGUCAACAAGAUGUUAGCAUGAGUGAAUGCCAUCUAAUAUUUAGCCAAGGGUGUCAAGUCAGCUUUCUUGAUGUGAAUAGGCACACCAUUUGAAUUCCUGUGGAAAUGCCCUCCAGGUACACAGAGUACACUCUUAAUGUCUUCAUAAUAUGAGCACUCCUGCACAUUCAAUGCAUACUGACACUGUUCACCAACCCACUCAGUCUCCAAGAAGCUGUUAAUAGUUUCAGGGUCAAAUCUAAUGAUCUUCCCCUGAACAUAAAUUGUAUAUCUG
rnacentral:lncRNA from 1 species